rnacentral:misc_RNA from 1 species
AACGGUCUAUACCUGCGGUACCUGCGGAAGGAUCAUUACCGAGUUAUCAACUCCCAAACCCCUGUGAACAUACCCGAACGUUGCCUCGGCGGGACCGCCCCGGCGCCCCUUGCGGCCCGGAACCAGGCGCCCGCCGGAGGACCCAAACUCUUGCUUUAAACAGUGGCAUACUCUCUGAGUCUCACAAACAAAAAAUAAAUCAAAACUUUCAACAACGGAUCUCUAGAUCGGAAGAGCACA